CUUACUGACCAGAUCAGUCACUCAAUAUAGUCUUCGUUCACCGUCGCUGUUGUCCUUGUCUGUUCCUAAGGCUAGAACUGAGAUGGGGAAACAAUAUUUUUUCCCAUAAUGCCCUUCCAUCCCGGAACAUGCUUCAAAUUAUAUUCAAGUUAAGGGAGUGUCCUUGCCUGUUUUUAAGACUCUGAUCAGCAACACUGUGUGAUAACUGCAGUUGUUUCUAAUCUUCAAUUGUAUCUGUAACUUGUGACACUUUGUCUUUUGUGUGUAUUUAGUAUUUUUCUGUAAUUCUUUUUUUUUAUACCUCAAUGGGUCUUACCUGGUAAAAUAAAGGUAAAAUACACGUUUUAUUAUCAUAACAUUAUCAGGUUGGUAAACUAACUAACCUAAACUAUGAGGUGAUAGAAAAGCCCACCCCUAUCCGACCUAUUAAUGGAUCCUCUCAUCUCUCUAAUGAUCCCAGCUCUACCUACUGUACAGUACAACACACAGUGCAGAUCUGAGCUGCUUACAUUUCUGAUCUUGUGGAAUAAGUAAAAAAAGAGAGAGAGAGGAGAAACAGAAAGACAGGAGGAGAGGAGAAACAGAAAGACAGGAGGAGAGGAGAAACAGAAAGACAGGAGGAGAGGAGAAACAGAAAGACAGGUGGAGAGGAGGAAGACAGGAGGAGAGGAGAAACAGGAAGACAGGAGGAGAGGAGAAACAGAAAGACAGGUGGAGAGGAGAAACAGGAGGACAGGAGGAAGACAGGAGGAGAGGAGAAACAGGAAGACAGGAGGAGAGGAGAAACAGGAAGACAGGAGGAGAGGAGAAACAGAAAGACAGGUGGAGAGGAGAAACAGAAAGACAGGAGGAGAGGAGAAACAGAAAGACAGGAGGAGAGGAGAAACAGAAAGACAGGAGGAGAGGAGAAACAGAAAGACAGGAGGAGAGGAGAAACAGAAAGACAGGAGGAGAGGAGAAACAGAAAGACAGGAGGAGAGGAGAAACAGAAAGACAGGAGGAGAGGAGAAACAGGAAGACAGGUGGAGAGGAGAAACAGGAGGACAGGUGGAGAGGAGAAACAGAAAGACAGGUGGAGAGGAGAAAGAGGAAGACAGGAGGAGAGGAGAAAGAGGAAGACAGGAGGAGAGGAGAAACAGGAAGACAGGAGGAGAGGAGAAACAGGUGGAGAGGAGAAACAGGAGGACAGGAGGAGAGGAGAAACAGAAAGACAGGAGGAGAGGAGAAACAGGAAGACAGGAGGAGAGGAGAAACAGGUGGAGAGGAGAAACAGGAGGACAGGAGGAGAGGAGAAACAGGAAGACAGGAGGAGAGGAGAAACAGGAAGACAGGAGGAGAGGAGAAACAGGUGGAGAGGAGAAACAGGAGGACAGGAGGAGAGGAGAAACAGAAAGACAGGAGGAGAGGAGAAACAGGAAGACAGGAG